UGUGCAGGCGGCUGGUUAAGUCAAGGAUGAAAUCCCGAGGCUCAACUUCGGAACUGUCCUUGAUACUGAUCAGCUUGAGGCUAGUUGAGGAGAGCGGAAUUCCCGGUGGAGCGGUGAAAUGCGUAGAUAUCGGGAGGAACACCAGAGGCGUAGGCGGCUCUCUAAGCUAGUCCUGACGCUGAGACACGAAAGCUAGGGUAGACGAAACG
rnacentral:rRNA from 1 species